GACGAACGCUGGCGGCGUGCUUAACACAUGCAAGUCGAACGGUAAGGCCCUUCGGGGUACACGAGUGGCGAACGGGUGAGUAACACGUGGGUGAUCUGCCCUGCACUUCGGGAUAAGCCUGGGAAACUGGGUCUAAUACCGGAUAGGACCACUGCCUGCAUGGGUGGUGGUGGAAAGCUUUUGCGGUGUGGGAUGGGCCCGCGGCCUAUCAGCUUGUUGGUGGGGUGAUGGCCUACCAAGGCGACGACGGGUAGCCGGCCUGGGAGGGGGACCGGCCAGACUGGGACUGAGAUCGGGCCAAGACUCCUACGGGAGGCAGCAGUGGGGAAUAGUGCACAAUGGGCGCAAGCCUGAUGCAGCGACGCCGCGGGAGGGAUGACGGCCUUCGGGUUGUAAACCUCUUUCAGCACCGACGAAGCGCAAGUGACGGUAGGUGCAGAAGAAGGACCGGCCAACUACGUGCCAGCCGCCGCCGUAA
rnacentral:rRNA from 1 species